rnacentral:ncRNA from 40 species
UGAUAUGUUUGAUAUAUUAGGUUG